rnacentral:SRP_RNA from 1 species
GCCAGGCAUUGUGGCGGGGGCCUGUGGUCCCAGCUAAUUGGGCGGCUGAGGCAGGAGACUCGCUUGAGCCCAGGAGUUGGAGGUUGCUGUGAGCUGUGAUGCCAUGGUACUCUACCCAGGGUGAUAGCUUGAGGCUCUGUCUCAAAAAAAAAAGGAUUAUUUUAUAUCUAUAAUAGGUGAAGUUAUUUUUUUUUUUUUUGAGACGGAGCCUCAAGCUAUCCCCCUGGGUAGAGUGCCAUGGCAUCACAGCUCACAGCAACCUCCAACUCCUGGGCUUAAGAGAUUCUCUUGCCUCAG